ACUGCUAUCGGAUUGAUACUAAGCCAUGCGAGUCAUUGUAGUAAUACAAGGCAGACGGCUCAGUAACGCGUAGUCAACCUACCCUAUGGACGGGAAUAACCUCGGGAAACUGAGAAUAAUGCCCGAUAGAACAUUAUGCCUGGAAUGGUUUAUGUUCCAAAUGAUUUAUCGCCGUAGGAUGGGACUGCGUCCUAUCAGUUUGUUGGUGAGGUAAUGGCCCACCAAGACUAUUACAGGUACGGGCUCUGAGAGGAGUGGCCCGGAGAUGGGUACUGAGACACGGACCCAGGCCCUAUGGGGCGCAGCAGGCGAGAAAACUUUGCAAUGUGCGAAAGCACGACAAGGUUAAUCCGAGUGGUUUCUGCUAAAGGAACCUUUUGUCGGUCCUAGAAACACCGAUGAAUAAGGGGUGGGCAAGUUCUGGUGUCAGCCGCCGCGGUAAAACCAGCACCUCAAGUUGUCAGGAUGAUUAUUGGGCCUAAAGCAUCCGUAGCCGGCUCUGUUAGUUUUCGGUUAAAUCUAUACGCUCAACGUAUAGGCUGCCGGGAAUACUGCAGAGCUAGGGAGUGGGAGAGGUAGACGGUACUCGGUAGGAAGGGGUAAAAUCCUUUGAUCUAUUGAUGACCACCUGUGGCGAAGGCGGUCUACCAGAUCACGUCCGACGGUGAGGGAUGAAAGCUGGGGGAGCAAACCGGAUUAGAUGCCCGGGUAGUCCCAGCUGUAAACUAUGCAAACUCAGUGAUGCAUUGGCUUGAUGCCAAUGCAGUGCUGCAGGGAAGCCGUUAAGUUUGCCGCCUGGGAAGUACGUACGCAAGUAUGAAACUUAAAGGAAUUGGCGGGGGAGCACCACAAGGGGUGAAG
rnacentral:rRNA from 1 species